rnacentral:rRNA from 1 species
UAGGGAAUCUUCCGCAAUGGACGCAAGUCUGACGGAGCAACGCCGCGUGAGUGAAGAAGGAUUUCGGUUCGUAAAACUCUGUUGUUAGAGAAGAACAGCGCAUAGAGUAACUGUUAUGCGUGUGACGGUAUCUAACCAGAAAGCCACGGCUAACUACGUGCCAGCAGCCGCGGUAAUACGUAGUUGGCAAGCGUUAUCCGGAAUUAUUGGGCGUAAAGCGCGCGUAGGCGGUUGUUUAAGUCUGAUGUGAAAGCCCACGGCUCAACCGUGGAGGGUCAUUGGAAACUGGAAAACUUGAGUGCAGAAGAGGAAAGUGGAAUUCCAUGUGUAGAGGUGAAAUGCGCAGAGAUAUGGAGGAACACCAGUGGCGAAGGCGACUUUCUGGUCUGUAACUGACGCUGAGGCUCGAAAGCGUGGGUAGCAAACAGG